GAUGAACGCUGGCGGCGUGCCUAAUACAUGCAAGUAGAACGCUGAAGCUUGGUGCUUGCACCGAGCGGAUGAGUUGCGAACGGGUGAGUAACGCGUAGGUAACCUGCCUCUUAGCGGGGGAUAACUAUUGGAAACGAUAGCUAAUACCGCAUAAAAGUCGAUAUCGCAUGAUAUUGAUUUGAAAGGUGCAAAUGCAUCACUAAGAGAUGGACCUGCGUUGUAUUAGCUAGUUGGUGAGGUAACGGCUCACCAAGGCGACGAUACAUAGCCGACCUGAGAGGGUGAUCGGCCACACUGGGACUGAGACACGGCCCAGACUCCUACGGGAGGCAGCAGUAGGGAAUCUUCGGCAAUGGGGGCAACCCUGACCGAGCAACGCCGCGUGAGUGAAGAAGGUUUUCGGAUCGUAAAGCUCUGUUGUAAGAGAAGAACGAGUGUGAGAGUGGAAAGUUCACACUGUGACGGUAACUUACCAGAAAGGGACGGCUAACUACGUG
rnacentral:rRNA from 1 species